rnacentral:rRNA from 1 species
CACGUAGGCGGAUUGAUCAGUUGGGGGUGAAGUCCCAGGGCUCAACCCUGGAACUGCCUUCAAUACUGUCUGUCUAGAGGUCGAGAGAGGUGAGUGGAAUUCCGAGUGUAGAGGUGAAAUUCGUAGAUAUUCGGAGGAACACCAGUGGCGAAGGCGGCUCACUGGCUCGAUACUGACGCUGAGGUGCGAAAGCGUGGGGAGCAAACA